ensembl:snoRNA
AUCCUUUUGUACUUGGUAAACCUGAUGGUUGGGUUUUUAUGCUCACAUAUGAGAUGUGCCUGUCUCAAACCUUGUUACAACACAUUACCCUUCCCACU